rnacentral:rRNA from 1 species
AGUAGUUGAUCAGUGGCUCGAGGACGAACGCUGGCGGCGUGCUUAACACAUGCAAGUCGAACGGUAAGGCCCUUCGGGGGUACACGAGUGGCGAACGGGUGAGUAACACGUGGGUGAUCUGCCCUGCACUUCGGGAUAAGCCUGGGAAACUGGGGUCUAAUACCGGAUAGGACUCCUGGCUUCAUGGUUGGGGGUGUAAAGCUUUUGCGGUGUGGGAUGGGCCCGCGGCCUAUCAGCUUGUUGGUGGGGUAAUGGCCUACCAAGGCGACGACGGGUAGCCGGCCUGAGAGGGUGACCGGCCACACUGGGACUGAGAUACGGCCCAGACUCCUACGGGAGGCAGCAGUGGGGAAUAUUGCACAAUGGGCGCAAGCCUGAUGCAGCGACGCCGCGUGAGGGAUGACGGCCUUCGGGUUGUAAACCUCUUUCAAUAGGGACGAAGCGCAAGUGACGGUACCUAUAGAAGAAGGACCGGCCAACUACGUG